GGCACAACAAUUCAUUGGGAGGGGUUUUCUACUGGCGUCAUUUGAAAAUAUAUAUUCCUGUAGCUAACAAUGAACAACUGGGAAUUUCUCCUCGUCGCACAAAGCCAUGGAAAUGUUUGUGGAUAACUUUUAUAACUGUACUCUGAGUCUGCAAUAUUCUAUAUCCCAUGGCCACAACCUUCCGAAUGUGACUCUGCAACAAGAAAAUUUGGCAGAACGUCCAAGUGGACUCACGAUCGCAGACCACAUGUAAUCAUGCCAGCCCAGACCUCCACAUCUCGUCUGAGACCAGCCACCCGGACAACUGAUUGGCUGGGCCUGAUUCCCCAGUGGGUGGGCCUGACUCCCCAGCUGCUCCAAUGUCAAAAGUGUCGGUCCUUAUAGAAUGCAGCAGCCAUUAUACAGAGCAUAGGGGAGUGCUGGCAUUCUGGUUGGUGGCGACGUCGGGUCCGGGGACCGCCACCGAUGGAACCGGGGGUGCCUAAGCCAGCUCGCCUGGCUGUCACGCCCUAGCUGGCUCGAGAGGUUCUUGCCCAGGUUGGCUCGGAAGGCGCCUGUCAUACGUCGGGCCUAAGCCGGAUUGUCAGGUGUCUACGCCCAGCCGGCGCAUCAAGCUGCUACGCCUCCGCUGGAUCAUCGGGCUCCCACACCUCAGUGGGAUCAACAGGCUGUCAUGCCUCAGCCGGAGCGUCAGGCUCCCACGCCUCUGCCGGUUCGUCGGGAUUUUACGCCCAGCGCCCGUGCCUCGGCCGGCCAGUCUGGCUCGCCCAGGUCGGAUGCCGGGUGGUGCCCCUGGGGGGACGGGGGGUUUGGGAGGCUACUGUCUCGCCUACUCCUGCUCUCCCAGCAUUAUGCACUCCUGCCACCAUCAGUACGCACACCUGAAUUCCCCGUCACGCGCAUCAGCGUAUUAUUGGACUCACCUGGACUCAAUCCCCUGUUUAUUACCUCUCCUAUAUUUGUCAGUUCCCCAGCUUCGUUCCCCACUGCUGAAUUAAUGUUCGUAUGUCAUUGUUACCCAUGUGCUGACGCUGUUCCUGGCAUGCUAUCUGUCUGUUCCGCAUUAAAUGUUCAACUCCCUGUACCUGC
rnacentral:lncRNA from 1 species